GUGGAUUUCUCUGGGUGACCCUGCCUGUCCUGGACACCCCCCUCCGCUGCCCACGGCGAGGGGACUGCCUUAGUGGAGAAGCAAAUUCCGUUGAUGAAACCCACCAGAGGCUGAGAGCCAACUCUCAGACGUUGGGGUGCAAGAACUCCGUGGAGGUACUUGACAUGAAAGCCAGUUCCCGGGACAGAAGGUCUGGGUGGAACUCCAGGAACUAUCUGGAGACCCCUGGUGGAGAAGCCCGCCUGUUGGCACCGUCGCCCCCGCGCACCGUCUCCGGAGGGUUCCUGAGCCCAGAUCUGCUUCCUUGCACAUUCCUUCCCUAGAGGAUCUUCACCAGGACGCACCGGCCUGGGACUGAGCCAGCGCCCACCCCCUGCUGUUGCCCCAGGAUCCCUCGGAGCCUGGGUCA